rnacentral:rRNA from 1 species
CCUACGGGAGGCUGCAGUGGGGAAUAUUGGACAAUGGGCGAAAGCCUGAUCCAGCCAUGCCGCGUGUGUGAAGAAGGCCUUCGGGUUGUAAGGCACUUUCAGUGGGGAAGAAAGCCUUGGGGCUAAUACCCUCGAGGAAGGACAUCACCCACAGAAGAAGCACCGGCUAACUCCGUGCCAGCAGCCGCGGUAAUACGGAGGGUGCGAGCGUUAAUCGGAAUUACUGGGCGUAAAGCGCGCGUAGGCGGUCUGAUAAGCCGGUUGUGAAAGCCCCGGGCUCAACCUGGGAACGGCAUCCGGAACUGUCAGGCUAGAGUGCAGGAGAGGAAGGUAGAAUUCCCGGUGUAGCGGUGAAAUGCGUAGAGAUCGGGAGGAAUACCAGUGGCGAAGGCGGCCUUCUGGACUGACACUGACGCUGAGGUGCGAAAGCGUGGGUAGCAAACAGGAUUAGAUACCCCGGUAGUC